rnacentral:misc_RNA from 1 species
GAUGGAACGCAGCGAAAUGCGAUAAGUAAUGUGAAUUGCAGAAUUCAGUGAAUCAUCGAAUCUUUGAACGCACAUUGCGCCCCCUGGUAUUCCGGGGGGCAUGCCUGUCCGAGCGUCAUUACAACCCUCAAGCUCAGCUUGGUGUUGGGCCCCGCCGCCCCGGCGGGCCCUAAAGUCAGUGGCGGUGCCGUCCGGCUCCGAGCGUAGUAAUUCUUCUCGCUCUGGAGGUCCGGUCGUGUGCUCGCCAGCAACCCCCAAUUUUUUUCAGGUUGACCUCGGAUCAGGUAGGGAUACCCGCUGAACUUAAGCAUAUCAAUAAGCGGAGGA